AUACGAUGCCGCAUACAAUGUGACUUUGGCGCGGGGAGGGGGGAGCCGCAGCCGGGGAGAUGAGUGACCGGCCGCAGCCGUCUCCCCGGGGAGGGCAGCCCAGGAAGAGGACCUGACAGCGUACAUGGCGGCGGGCGGUGUGUAGCCCCCUCCCGCUGGGCAGGUACCGCAAUGUCACAGGGAACAUGGCUGCUCGGACUUACAGCGCGGGGUGAGCGCAGUUACCGCAGCCUCCCUGAUGUGUGCACAGCGGGGUGAGGAGGACGCGGCUCCGUCCCGGGAGUGAACAGCAGCCUAUGGAGCAGAACCGGAGAGGCCGGGGUUAUAACCGGCAGAAGACUGCGGCAGUUAUCCCCGUCAAUUACCCUCACAGGCGGCUCCAGGUUUUCCUGGCAAGAGCCAAACAACAAAGCUGGACAUUCCUUUGGAAAUGCAAAAGUGGCACCUUAUGAGCGAUGAAACAGAGUAAAAUGUCUUCAGAGUCUUUGGAGAUGUAUCCUGAGGGUCCUCUUAUCAUGGAACACAACAUGGUGACCUUUUACAUCCAUUUGAUGAAGAGCUUUCACAUAGCUAAUUGCUCAGGCAUCGUAAGGCAGAAUGCUCCCGAUAUGUCUCCACCAUGUAGGCUUAUAUAACUGGGCCAGGGGUCUUCAUUCCUCCGAGAGUCUUCGGAUGGGUAACACACGGCUUUACAAGACUGCUGAUGGACAGAAUCCUUGUACCUUAGGCCUUGGAUAGACCUCAACUCUGGAGAUGGAAUGAUGCAUUGUUAUAUAGCAAUGAUAUAUUUGUCUACAGCUCUGGGAUCAUCUGACCACGCUGAGGACCUGUAGCUAAGGUAAUAAUCGGACUCUUCAGAUGGAUCUGAUGUGUUUACAUGGUCCACUUUCCAUGUGGAUGGGACGGAUGCAUCCUGAGCUGUAACAUAGAAGACCAAAGUUGAAUGACUGGGUGUCUAUUUUUUACCAUGGGACAUCUCUUGCGUCUCACUGUCACGUAGGUUCUUCAGUUGUAUGGCAAUGUUAAUCUUUCACGGCCUUCUCACUUCAUUUCUUUCUGUAGCAAUUAACAAAUAGUAAUGAAUUUGCAGGAAAAUGCAAAACUUUUACACGUAGAGGCAAAGCAAGUCCGUCAUUUACCUCAAACUUGGUGCCAGGUAAACCAAGCUGGUGGCCGAUAGGCAUACGCCGAGCGAUGUCGUCCGUAGGUUUGCAAUAAAUGCAAUAAUGUUGAUUUCACUUAAUUCUCAGGUUUUCCACCAGGAUUUUUUUUUAUUUUUUUUUAGAAUACACAUUGACUGGUGGAGUCUGACCCUUUACUGUUCAGAAAAUGAGUAGUCCUAAUGAUUAGCUUGUAGGACAUUUCUUAGGGUGAGAUGAAAAAAAUAUUUUGGUUCUUCAAAUUACUUCUCCAUCUGUAGUUGAGAAGGAGGGGAUAUGACUUGCUGUAGACUAGCGACCUGUAUAACUAAGGAAUUCUUUUCCAUGAGAUACGGUAAUUCUGAUGUUUUCUACCAGAGGAUGUCCUCUAUACUGGGCCAUAAUGAUAAGAGAUGGGAUUGUUCUGAUGCCCCUGCACAACAGCGACCAUAUAAAUAAAGUGUAAGACUAGUUAUUUUAAAUUUGGCCAUCUCCUUCAGUCCUCCUGCUAAUUCCAUUACAUUCACCUUAUAACCUAAAAGAUGCAAGAACUUUAGUUUAAAUGUCGAUGGAAAUGUUCUUCAUCUUGCCAAUGACGUUCUUCACAACCCUUAAACUGGUGAAGACGGCUGUCCUAUUCAUACAGUCUUCAGUAGUGCACCAGGUCCAUAAACAUAUGAGCUGUUACGCCAAAACAUCAAUUUGAAGGGGUUGUCUGAGUUAGAAAACACAUUUUUGAAAACGAAGAGAGGGUAUGGGAGUCUUGAAGAACAAAUUCAUAGAACAACUCUCUGGAGGAACCAGCCUAUCUGAACGUUUCCGAGACAGCCCAUUCUUUUUCUUUUUUUUUUUCACGGGAACCGUGUAAUGCUUCAUUUAUCCUGUAGAGGUGCUGCAGGGAAGUCAUACAUUUGCCACCGCUCGGCUGAUCAUAGGUCGUCUCGGAAAAAGGACGCCCCCUGAUCAGCCGAUCAUUGUCCAAAAAGCCCUUCAAGUAUAAAUAUGGCUGGCGACGACCAGAAAGAUUUCAUGUUUCUUAUAUAUUUUGCACACUUAUUUUUUUUUUCUGCUUUGUCAUUCCUGUACUAGUAACAAGUUGUAAUGAAAUAAUGGGACAAGUGCAAUAUUAGUGUAUGUAUUAUAUAUUUUACUACUUGUGGACAAAAUGAUGUUGUCUGAGAACAACAAAAUCACCAAUGUCUUCCAUUUUUUGAUAUGUGUAUAGUUCCAUACGUAGCUAAUUGUAGUGCCGCUGUAAGGCCAGUGCAUGAUAUAUUGAUGUCUAUGUAUCUGAAGUAUAUAUGUAUAACCUGAAACUAAAGGCGCAGAAGUCCAUAUAUAGCAUGCUUAUUGGUUUCUCUCCACUAGAAGUAGGUCAGAUUUGGCUCCUGGUGGUGUGUCUUCAAGCCAUGUUCUGGCGUCUCCUUUCCAUAAUUGGGUCCAGGAUUUUGGUCAUGCAAUUGAAAUUUCAUAUUGUUUGAAAACUGCAGGUCCCUUUUUAGUGUGUUCUGCAUGCAUUUAUAUGCUCCGUUGCCUGGCAACCCCAAGACUUCCUGUCUGGGUGACCACCUUUUUCUUCCACACACUGUAGCGGUUGUAGGUAGUUCUGUUUGCCAUAACCAUACGGUGCAGCCAACGUGAAGAGACGCAACAGGAAAUCAAGACUAAGAUCUAUGUUGUUCUUUCUUGUAUGAUAUGUGCCAUCUAGUUUACGGAACGGGUGGAAUUGGGGAGUCUAUAUGUGGCGGGCAGAGGUACACUUUUUAAUACUGUCUUGUAAAAUAAUUGUGUUUUUAACUGAAUAAGAGUGUUGAUCCCCGGGUAACUUCUUCUUGGGGGAAAUGGAAAGAAAGGGGUUUCAUUUAAGAGUUAGAUGAUGACUAGAAAUAAUUUGUCGGGCCAAGCACAAGCAGGCUUUACAUAGACGGCUCAUCGAUUUAGUGGGCUUCGUGUAAUGCUUCUUUUCUCCUUCGGUGGCGCUGUAGGGAAAUGUAGCAGUUUUGUUAAAUUGCCAAGAAGUUCAACAAUGGAGCAGCUUUUGAUGAGCUUAUUAUCAGGCGAUCCUUCUAUUGACCUGGGAUUGUCCUAAGCAGUUGCACUAAGUUGUAUUUUUGGCAUGUGAUAUUAGGUAGGUGAACAUACUGUUUACUAUCACUACCUAUUGGCUAUUAGAAGUCAAGAACAUGAGAAAUGUGAUGUACAUCAGACUAUGCAUACGUGAAGGCUCCCUGUUGAUCCUAGACCUUAUUGCUGUUCGACUGAAUUAAGACGCUAGCUUGGUUGACUGAAUUACUAAAUCAGAUUUGGAUGAUCAUUCAAACCAUAAGGCUCCAAAUUAUGCUGCAUGAACUGUAGAGGUGGUCCUGGCAAGUACUGACUAGGGGAACUGGCUCUUGGAUGCAUAUACUGUACCCUGGAGAGAUGAUCAUCUGAGGUUACGACUAGGAGGACUGGCUCUUGGAUGCAUCUACUGUACAUUGGAGAGGUGGUCCUCCCAGGUGGUGACUGGCUCUUGGAUGCUUCUACUGUACAUUGGAGAGGUGGUCCUCCCAGGUAGUGACUGGCUCUUGGAUGCAUCUACUGUACAUUAGAGAGGUGGUCCUACCAGGUGGUGACUGGCUCUUGGAUGCAUCUACUGUACAUUGGAGAGGUGGUCCUCCCAGGUGGUGACUGGCUCUUGGAUGCAUCUACUGUACAUUGGAGAGGUGGUCCUCCCAGGUGGUGACUGGCUCUUGGAUGCUUCUACUGUACAUUGGAGAGGUGGUUCUCCCACGUAGCAUAUGUGUGUGAAAGCCAAAGAAUAUCUUAGUCUAUUGCCAACUCCUUAGCCUGCCACUGAUCUCAUGAUAAUCCAGGAAUUCUAAUGAUUGUUUGAUGGCCAAGAAUUCUGUGGGGGUUAUACUCCACAUGACACAGGCUGUACAUUACUUCUGCCCACAGUUGUGAUGCCAGACUGAAUCCUAUAGAGCCUCUAAUAGAUGUUAUUUCUGUAAUUGAUAAGAUCCAUGAGCUGGAGAGACAUCUUCAGAACAGGUAGGAAUAAGUUUCUACCUACCAGACAGCUAGUCUCAAGAACGUCCUCGCUGCGAUAAGUUCUAGGAUUAUUGAUGGGGGCAGAUUCAGACCUCCUAGGCACUGUCCAUGUGUAAUAGUGUAGAAAUAAGCAGUGAAAUACCAAAUAUGUGACCUAAUACUUAUAUAUGUGAAGUCGCACAAGUCACCAUGUCUAUUACAAUGGCACAGAUACAGAAGAGGACCGAAGGAUAAAACAUUUCGAUGUACUGCAUGGUAUGACGGUCAUCAAGAGUCCCUCCUUGGCCCCAGUCUCCAUAUUGUAGCCAACAUUCAUGGGUGGGAUACAUGUAAAAUAAAAGACCUUGCAGGGGUGAAUGUGUAGACAUACACUGAUUUCUGUCGGGGGUCCGACCGAACGGGGAACUCAUCCAUGACCGCUGCUCCAUUCAGUGCUAGGCUGUCUGUCAGCCCAUAGAUGUGAAUGGGUUGGUGGUCAUGGAAGACCCUUAUACUCUUGCAUGGUUAGGGCUAUGUAUUAUACUACAACUUGCAUGUCUGAUUCCUUACCGUGACCUCAUAGAAGGGACUAGGUUCCUGCAGCAUGCGAAGGAGCAUAACCCUGCCAUUCUUUGCAGUGGAACCUAAUAUUAUAUAUUCCAAAUAUCUCUAAAAAUAUUCCAUUUAUUUUUACAGGAACGCAUGCUUCUUUUAAGAUAAGGGAUGUAUAUAGCAUGAGGCAUACUGUGUUGUGGGGGCCGGCGGAGAGCCUUCUAUGGCUCGCCGUGUAAAUAUGAAACCUCAAGGUGGUCGGCGGUGUAAAAACUAUAUGUGAUUGUAUCCUCCAGGUAUUCACGUCAUUAUAAUCUACUCCAAUGGAGGAAGCAAUAAGAAGCGAACUUUGCUUGCAGUAGCGUACACUAUGAAAUACCUCUGACGCAGUAAUGCACACUCGCGCAGUAUGUAGCUGUCGCCGCAGACAAAGCCAUACGACGAGUUAGGUGUUUAGCAGCAAUAACUGUCUUGCAUGGUACAGUACAGGGCUGGCGGACCAGUUCCACAUAGCGGUGUGCAUGUAUCCUCACCUUUUCCUUGUUUUACCCAGUUUUUUCUGGAAGUGGUUGUUGGCCAGAGGACGUGUGAACUAUUAUUAUUAUAUAUAUAUUUUUUUUCUUAUAUGUAUUUACUUUUGCUUCCUUUUUAUCCAAUAUAUUGUCUACUUUUUGUGUUACUGGACAUAGAACUGAAUAAAGUUGAGGUAUUGCUAUUA